AGUGAACGCUGGCGGUAGGCCUAACACAUGCAAGUCGAACGGCAGCACAGUAAGAGCUUGCUCUUACCGGUGGCGAGUGGCGGACGGGUGAGGAAUACAUCGGCAUCUACUUUUUCGUGGGGGAUAACGUAGGGAAACUUGCGCUAAUACCGCAUACGACCUACGGGUUAAAGCAGGGGAUCUUCGGACCUUGCGCGAUUGAAUGAGCCGAUGUCGGAUUAGCUAGUUGGCGGGGUAAAGGCCCACCAAGGCGACGAUCCGUAGCUGGUCUGAGAGGAUGAUCAGCCACACUGGAACUGAGACACGGUCCAGACUCCUACGGGAGGCAGCAGUGGGGAAUAUUGGACAAUGGGCGCAAGCCUGAUCCAGCCAUACCGCGUGGGUGAAGAAGGCCUUCGGGUUGUAAAGCCCUUUUGUUGGGAAAGAAAAGCAGCAGGUUAAUACCCCGCUGUUCUGACGGUACCCAAAGAAUAAGCACCGGCUAACUUCGUG
rnacentral:rRNA from 1 species